UUUAUACUCCCUCCGUUCCUAAAUACUUGUCUUUCUAGACAUUUCAAAUGACUACUACAUACGGAUGUAUGUAGACAUAUUUUAGAGUGUAGAUUCACUCAUUUUGCUCCGUAUGUAGUCACUUGUUGAAAUGCCUAGAAAGACAAGUAUUUAGGAACGGAGGGAGUACAUG
rnacentral:pre_miRNA from 1 species